CACUUUUAUAAAUUUGACUCACUGAAGUUUUUUUUUCGAAGAUAAAACUUAAGCUUCGAAAUACUUGUCAAAUCGGAUUCACUUUUAUUUUAAUUUUAAUAGAAAUUCAGCUUUCAAUUAUGGAAUCGCAAGAUGAUAAACCGGGCAUUAGGCAAUGUUUACUAGUUCACUGGCGAGGCGUCAUCAUAUCUGUCUUGCCUUUAAUAUUUUUAAUCGCUACGUUUAUCAAUGAUACUCUGCCAUUUCGCUGUCUAUAUGUCAUAAUUUCCAUGUUUAUUUGUUGGUUGACAGAAAUAUUUCCGUUUGCAAUAACUGCAAUGUUCCCAAUUGUUGCAUUUCCAUUGAUGAACAUACUAAGCUCCGAUAAAACAUGUUCAUUAUAUUUCAAAGAAACUUUGGUAAUGUUUAUAAUAAGUAUUAUGAUAGCCUUAACAAUGGAAUUUACAAAUCUACACACUCGAUUGGCUAUUAAUAUCAUUAAGUUUUAUGGGUCUUGUCCAAGGAGGUUGCACCUUCUUUUAGUUGUGGUUACAGCUUUUCUUUCAAUGCUUAUACCAAAUGCUGCCUGUGUAGCUUUGAUGUAUCCUUUGACGAACGCUAUUUUGGAUAGACUUUCAAGUCAAGGAAUGUGUAAACUAUAUGAAGAUGAUAGCGCAGAUACCCCCAAAACAGAAAAAAAACCUUCCAAAUUAGCAAUUUGUUUUUAUUUAAGUGUUGCUUAUGCAUCUUCAAUGGGCGGUAGUGCAAAUUUAAUGGGAACUCCAGCAAAUCUCGAAUUCAUCGAAGUUUAUGAAGAUAAAUUCCCUGAUAGCCCCGAUGACAUUGACUUUGGGAAUUUUUUAUCAUAUGCCUUGCCACAAAUGAUUGUUUACACAGGUUUGAUGUAUUUAGUUAUGGAAUUUACGCACAUGGGACUGUUUCGAUCCAAAAGCCCAGAAGCAAUGGCUUUGCGGUUUAGUAGUGAGGAAAAAUUAGCUGCGCAACGAAUGGCAAAUGAUAAGUACGAAGAAAAUGGUUCCAUUAAUGUGAGCCAGUGCAUUACGGCAACACUUAUCAUUGCUAUGAUAUGCAUGAUUUUUACCAGGGAACCUGAAUUUUCUGAGGGAUGGGGAGAACUUGUAAACGGAAAAGAAGUUUUAAACGCCUCUGUUACCACAAUUAUCAUAUUUUUGAUAUUCAGUUUGCCAGCAAAGAUAACAUUUCUGAAAUGUUGGGAUGUAAGCUCAGUUGGAACAACACCUGCAUUGUUGAAUUGGAAAUUUGUGAAUUCAGUUCUUCCUUGGAAUUUAGUUUUUAUCAUUGGUUGCGGAGGAGCGAUUGCUGAAGGCUGCAAAACCAGUGGAUUUCAAUCACUUCUUGGAGACUCACUUUCAUGCUUAAAACAUCUGCCAGCUCCUUUGAGCUUAUUAAUUGCAAUCAUAUUUAUGGAAAUAUGUACAAACUUAACAGUUAAUGCAGCAGUGAUUAGUGUAAUCGCACCAGGAGUUUUACAAUUGGCUGCAGAGUCAAAAGCUCAUCCUUUGUACUUUAUGUUUCCCGUUGGUUUAGCUGGAAGCAUGGCAUUUUUAAUGCCAUCAGCAACAGCUCCAAAUGCAUUAAUGGCAGCAUAUGCCAAUAUUAAGCCCUGUGACAUGAUUUUUGUAGGUUUUAGCUGGAAUCGGACCAUCUAUUGCGUCAGUAAUAACAAUUUAUAUUUUUUCACAAAGCUGGGCAUUAUUGAUUUAUCCUGAUUUGCUGAAAUAUCCUGAAUGGGCAGAUGGAAAUGCAACUCUUCCAAUUGUUGAAGAUAAUGAAUAGAUGUUAAUAUAUUCCAAUUAGGGGUCUUACAUUUCCAGCCUUGAACUGAUGGAAAGGGAGAGCUUGUAGCAAUCAUUGUGAAACCUUGCUGAACUUGAAUUGGAAGCUUUAUAAUUCCCCCGGGGAAGUCAAUGUUGUCUAAAUGAGUAAAUUAUCAUAAAAAUACCAAACGGAAUAAUUUUCAAAAAAAAAUAAAAAACUACAAAGAACAAAAACGAAAUACGAAAAAAAUUUCACGCCACAACAAGCGCCUUAAACAAUCUAACAGCUCAAUCGACAGCCACAACUUAUCACCAGGACCACGCAUCAUCAGAAAAUUAUAAAAAGAAUCCCAGGCCCAACUAACACAACAACAUCAACAGGAAGCUUCUUUUCAGAGAGCAGAGAACGAACAGAGAGAAGAGUUGGGGCCUCCUUUUCUACCUUGUGGCACUUCGUUCAAAAUGCAUUCUUAGUUUUCAAUGUUAAUGGGCCAAUUAAAAACAAUGUUUAUAUUGAA